UCGACCUGAGCUCAGGCAAGGCUACCCGCUGAACUUAAGCAUAUCAAUAAGCGGAGGAAAAGAAACUAACCAGGAUUCCCCUAGUAACGGCGAGUGAACCGGGAAGAG
rnacentral:rRNA from 1 species